ensembl:snoRNA
AAACAAUAAUGAAAAUUGCCAAAUCUGAGGAUGACAGAGUUAUGGAAAUACUCUAUUUCCAGAUGGAUUUCAGGGU